rnacentral:rRNA from 1 species
GAUGAACGCUGGCGGCGUGCUUAACACAUGCAAGUCGAACGGAAAGGCCCAAGCUUGCUUGGGUACUCGAGUGGCGAACGGGUGAGUAACACGUGGGUGAUCUGCCCUGCACUUCGGGAUAAGCCUGGGAAACUGGGUCUAAUACCGGAUAGGACCACUUCUUGGAUGUUGUGGUGGAAAGUUUUGUCGGUGUGGGAUGAGCUCGCGGCCUAUCAGCUUGUUGGUGGGGUAAUGGCCUACCAAGGCGUCGCCGGGUAGCCGGCCUGAGAGGGUGUACGGCCACAUUGGGACUGAGAUACGGCCCAGACUCCGACGGGAGGCAGAAGUGGGGAAUAUUGAACAAUGGGCGCAAGCCUGAUGCAGCGACGCCGCGUGGGGGAUGACGGCCUUCGGGUUGUAAACGCCUUUCGCUAGGGACGAAGCGUUUUGUGACGGUACCUGGAGAAGAAGCACCGGCUAACUACAUG